rnacentral:misc_RNA from 1 species
GUAGGUGAACCUGCGGAAGGAUCAUUAACACGUAUCCACGUAUCAACCCCUCUGUGCAAACUCUAACUUCGAAAGGUUUGGUCUUAGUGUGUUGUUCGCAUGGGUCCUAAUGAUGGAGCGAGGAUCUUCGGAUCUUUGCUAGGGCUCGAACGACAUGUGUUUGACGAUCAACCGCCACUUUCCCAUCGUUGGCCCCUCUUUUUAAACCCCUUGUACUUCUUUGUACUGAACCAAUUCUUCUGACGCUCUU